rnacentral:misc_RNA from 1 species
GUAGGUGAACCUGCGGAAGGAUCAUUACAGUAAUGUGAAUGAUAAGGGUUUUUGGCUGCUGGCUUGUUGUUUCAAGCAUGUGCGCACCCUUUGAUUUUAUAGUCCCAUAUACACACCUGUGCACCCAAGGUUAAUGCUUCCCAUUCGGAGCCGUCUUGAGUUGAUCAAAGGGUUUAUCACUCGAGGCUGAAGCGUUCCUUCUUUGACUUUUACACUACUGCCUGUCUAAUGCAUGUUUAAUACUCUAAGGAGUUAAAAAGUUAAUACAACUUUCAACAACGGAUCUCUUGGCUUUU